GUGAAGUCGUAACAAGGUAACCGUAGGGGAACCUGCGGUUUGAUCACCUCCUUACCUUAAAGAAGC
rnacentral:rRNA from 1 species